CCCCCCCCAACAGCAAAUAAGAAAAAUCUGUUUGUGCAUUCAUAAUAGGCCAACUGUGUCUUAUCUUUCUUCACAAUCUGUGUUUUCAUGACUAGAGGUUUUGAUACAACAGAUAUAAUUAGGUCACCGGAGUGUUAGUGGCCUUGUACGUGACUAAAUGUAGAAAAGCCAUAUAAAUACACGAAAAGGCACUUGGAAGCCUGGGAAAAUGGUAACAGCCUGUCAAUAACACCUCUGUUAAAUGAACAGUUAUUAU